rnacentral:tRNA from 1 species
CGCGAGGUAGAGCAGCAGGUAGCUCGUCGGGCUCAUAACCCGAAGGUCGCUGGUUCGAGUCCAGCCCUCGCUACUA